rnacentral:rRNA from 1 species
UAGACGCAGCCGCUUCACUUCUCCCAGGUAAAGGUUCGCCCAUGGCUCCGUCGCAGCCCAAGUCGGGCCUCUUCGUGGGCAUCAACAAGGGCCACGUCGUCACCAAGCGCGAGCUGCCGCCACGCCCGUCCGACCGCAAGGGGAAAGGUACCAAGAGGGUGCAUUUCGUCAGGAACUUGAUCAGGGAGGUCGCUGGGUUUGCUCCGUAUGAGAAGCGUAUCACUGAGCUUCUCAAGGUUGGCAAGGACAAGCGUGCCCUGAAGGUGGCGAAGCGAAAGUUGGGUACCCACAAGAGGGCGAAGAAGAAGAGAGAGGAGAUGUCCAGUGUCCUCAGGAAGAUGAGAUCUGCUGGAACUGGAACCGAGAAGAAGAAAUAGAGCAUCCCAGGCUCAUGAAGUUGAUGGAAAAUCUUCUGUUCUGGUAAGAAGAACCGUUGUUAUACACAAAUGCUAGCGAUUUAUGCCUGGACAAGAUCGAGAGCCACAUCGUGCUAUGCGAGCAAUUCGCCUGACAUAAUGAUUU